rnacentral:rRNA from 1 species
AUUGAACGCUGGCGGCAUGCCUUACACAUGCAAGUCGAACGGCAGCAUGGGUGCUUGCACCUGAUGGCAAGUGGCGAACGGGUGAGUAAUGCACCGGAACGUACCCGGAAGUGGGGGAUAACGUAGCGAAAGUUACGCUAAUACCGCCUAUUCGGUGAGCAGGAAAGCGGGGGAACGCAAGCCCCCGCACUUCCGGAGGGGACGAUGUCGGAUUAGCUAGUUGGCGGGGUAGAGGCCCACCAAGGCAACGAUCCGUAGCGGGUCUGGGAGGAUGAUCCGCCACACUGGGACUGGGACACGGCCCAGACUCCUACGGGAGGCAGCAGUGGGGAAUUUUGGACAAUGGGGGCAACCCUGAUCCAGCCAUGCCGCGUGAGUGAAGAAGGCCUUCGGGUUGUAAAGCUCUUUCGGCCGGGAAGAAAUCGCACAGGUUAAUACCUUGUGUGGAUGACGGUACCGGAAUAAGAAGCACCGGCUAACUACGUGCCAGCCGCCGCCGUAA